UACGUAGGGUGCAAGCGUUAAUCGGAAUUACUGGGCGUAAAGCGUGCGCAGGCGGUCUUGCAAGACAGAUGUGAAAGUCCCCGGGCUCAACCUGGGAACUGCAUUUGUGACUGCAAGGCUGGAGUGCGGGCAGAGGGGGAUGGAAUUCCGCGUGUAGCAGUGAAAUGCGUAGAUAUGCGGAGGAACACCGAUGGCGAAGGCAAUCCCCUGGGCCUGCACUGACGCUCAUGCACGAAAGCGUGGGGAGCAACAGG
rnacentral:rRNA from 1 species